GAUGGACCAAUGGUCUGACUCAGUCUAAGGCAGCUUCCUCUGUUCCUGUCUUUCUAGGAAACUGCCUUACACCGAGUCACACCAUCAGUCCCUCACAGUCAGUAUUGUCUCUGUGUGGCUCGCCAGGGUUUCACAAAGGAGUCUUUUCCCAGUCCUAUCCAGAGUUGCCAAGGAGUGGACUUGCGUCCUUCUGCAUGCAAACAUGUGUUCCUCUACUGAGCAAUGACCCCUCCUCUGCAGUAAUGCCAGGAUAGAAAAAGAGCCUACUCUCUUGGUUCAGCAGCUCUGGGUGCCCUCCGGAUGUCUCACCAGCUAUUAUCUCAUUGUAUUAAAGGAGCGGGAGAAUGAGCUUUCUUGCCUAAUCACUUAAGAAAAAUGAAACAAAAUGGACUGUUAAUUCAGAAAGAACAGCCAGAAAAGCGAAGAGAAUUUGUGUGUUUCUAUGAAUAACAUAACUCAUCACAUUCUAGUCACAGUACAACAUUGGCUUGUCUAGACGGUUGCUUCCUAUCCUUCUGAUCCUGCUCUGUGGUCCACACAGCCAGAGGUGCAAGAAGCAUCCUGGAGAAAACCUGAUAAGUUUUGUCUCUAAAGCAUAGCACACCAGCCUCGCAUACUGCUGGACUAGAAAAGACUGGAGCACUGGGCAGAUCUGGAUUACAGGAGACAAAAAAUGCUGAAACUAUAUUGCCCAUCUUCAGAAUAAAUUAAAUUUAAAAAUAGAUACAAUUCUUGUUGGAGCUAGGAUCCUGGCAGCAUCAGCUCUCAGCUGCAAUGUCUCAUUGUGACCACUGGGUGGGUGGAGUUUAGGGUCAUGGAUAAAAGUGCUGGACUCAUCCCCUCUUUGUUCUUCCAGUGUUAGUCUCCAUUUUGUCUCUCCAGAGAUGUCUAUUUGUUUUAGUCUCUCUCUCCCCUUUCAGCCUUAAGCUCAGAUUUCCCAUCCUUUUGUAACUUCUAAAUAAAUCCUUGUUGUUCUUCAAACUUAAAGAA